UACGUAGGGUGCAAGCGUUAAUCGGAAUUACUGGGCGUAAAGCGUGCGCAGGCGGUUUUGUAAGUCUGUCGUGAAAUCCCCCGGGCUCAACCUGGGAAUUGCAUCUGUGACUGCAUAGCUAGAGUACGGUAGAGGGGGAUGGAAUUCCGCGUGUAGCAGUGAAAUGCGUAGAUAUGCGGAGGAACACCAAUGGCGAAGGCAAUCCCCUGGACCUGUACUGACGCUCAUGCACGAAAGCGUGGGGAGCAAACAGG
rnacentral:rRNA from 1 species